rnacentral:rRNA from 1 species
GGGUUUGAUCAUGGCUCAGGAUGAACGCUGGCGGCGUGCUUAACACAUGCAAGUCGAACGAACCUUCGGGUUAGUGGCGGACGGGUGAGUAACGCGUGAGAAUCUGCCCUCAGGAGGGGGAUAACGGUUGGAAACGACCGCUAAUACCCCAUAUGCCUACUGGUGAAACGAAUUUCGCCUGAGGAUGAGCUCGCGUCUGAUUAGCUAGUUGGUGAGGUAAUGGCUCACCAAGGCUUCGAUCAGUAGCUGGUCUGAGAGGAUGAUCAGCCACACUGGGACUGAGACACGGCCCAGACUCCUACGGGAGGCAGCAGUGGGGAAUUUUCCGCAAUGGGCGAAAGCCUGACGGAGCAACGCCGCGUGAGGGACGAAGGCCUCUGGGCUGUAAACCUCUUUUCUCAAGGAAGAAGAUAUGACGGUACUUGAGGAAUAAGCCACGGCUAAUUCCGUGCCAGCAGCCGCGGUAAUACGGGAGUGGCAAGCGUUAUCCGGAAUUAUUGGGCGUAAAGCGUCCGCAGGCGGCUUUUCAAGUCUGCUGUUAAAGCGUGGAGCUUAACUCCAUCAUGGCAGUGGAAACUGAAAGGCUUGAGUAUGGUAGGGGCAGAGGGAAUUCCCGGUGUAGCGGUGAAAUGCGUAGAUAUCGGGAAGAACACCAGUGGCGAAGGCGCUCUGCUGGGCCAUUACUGACGCUCAUGGACGAAAGCCAGGGGAGCGAAAGGGAUUAGAUACCCCUGUAGUCCUGGCCGUAAACGAUGAACACUAGGUGUCGGGGGAAUCGACCCCCUCGGUGUCGUAGCUAACGCGUUAAGUGUUCCGCCUGGGGAGUACGCACGCAAGUGUGAAACUCAAAGGAAUUGACGGGGGCCCGCACAAGCGGUGGAGUAUGUGGUUUAAUUCGAUGCAACGCGAAGAACCUUACCAGGGUUUGACAUCCUGCGAACCUCUUAGAAAUUUGAGGGUGCCUUCGGGAAUGCAGUGACAGGUGGUGCAUGGCUGUCGUCAGCUCGUGUCGUGAGAUGUUGGGUUAAGUCCCGCAACGAGCGCAACCCACGUUUUUAGUUGCCAGCAUUUAGUUGGGCACUCUAGAAAGACCGCCGGUGAUAAACCGGAGGAAGGUGUGGAUGACGUCAAGUCAUCAUGCCCCUUACACCCUGGGCUACACACGUACUACAAUGCUACGGACAAAGGGCAGCAAACUCGCGAGAGCUAGCAAAUCCCAUAAACCGUGGCUCAGUUCAGAUCGUAGGCUGCAACUCGCCUACGUGAAGUAGGAAUCGCUAGUAAUCGCAGGUCAGCAUACUGCGGUGAAUACGUUCCCGGGCCUUGUACACACCGCCCGUCACACCAUGGAAGUUGGCCAUGCCCGAAGUCGUUACUCCAACCCUUGUGGAGGAGGACGCCGAAGGUGGGGCUAAUGACUGGGGUGAAGUCGUAACAAGGUAGCCGUA